GAUGAACGCUGGCGGCGUGCCUAAUACAUGCAAGUCGAGCGAACAGAUGAGGAGCUUGCUCCUCUGACGUUAGCGGCGGACGGGUGAGUAACACGUGGAUAACCUACCUAUAAGACUGGGAUAACUUCGGGAAACCGGUGCUAAUACCGGAUAAUAUAUUGAACCGCAUGGUUCAAUAGUGAAAGACGGUUUUGCUGUCACUUAUAGAUGGAUCCGCGCCGCAUUAGCUAGUUGGUAAGGUAACGGCUUACCAAGGCAACGAUGCGUAGCCGACCUGAGAGGGUGAUCAGCCACACUGGAACUGAGACACGGUCCAGACUCCUACGGGAGGCAGCAGUAGGGAAUCUUCCGCAAUGGGCGAAAGCCUGACGGAGCAACGCCGCGUGAGUGAUGAAGGUCUUCGGAUCGUAAAACUCUGUUAUUAGGGAAGAACAAAUGUGUAAGUAACUAUGCACGUCUUGACGGUACCUAAUCAGAAAGCCACGGCUAACUACGUG
rnacentral:rRNA from 1 species